UCCUCUAUUUACAGUAAAUGAUAGGGUUGGUACUUGUUUAUGGUAAGUUUUUCUCAAAAAAAGCAAACUUUUUGCGUCCUAAAAAAAUAUGUCCAGUAUAAUUGCCGUUGUGCUGACUUGAAUUUUUUAUUAUGCCGCGUCAGUUGAAUUCAUGCUGCUGAGAGCGAACAAAAACAAAUAAAGUUGCAAUAAGCGUCUCAACUUAUGUGAAGUGAGUGUCUCGAGCCUGUGCACGCCGUUGCAGCUUUGGAAGUUUUCGUUUGGGAUGAAAGCGUGUAAAUUUGAGGUGGAAGAGUGUUGAGAUCGGUAAUGGAAAGAGGAAGGGGGGAAGGCAGGACAGCAGCCUCCACACGCGGCUGCAGUCGUCGCCGCCGUCGCCGUUGGAAACCCCGCUGGCAGGUGUCUACUCCCGUGUCGCCUUCAGCGUGUACUUCCACUGAGGGGGGUGAAACAUGCAGAGGAGUUGGAGGAAAAGCCAAAGUCUUACCUGUGUAGACUUUGCCGUCCUGUCGUCACUUGAAACUACAAGCAACCCUUGUGCCUUGACGGCGAGUCGCUCGGAAGAUAUGCCCUGGGACCAACCAAGUGGGAAGAGGAGUCCUUAAUUGAGUUUGUCGCUUCAAAGGUGUGACUUGGAAAAAGUGGUCUGGACUCUCUCUGACUUUGACGACUGCACGGUUUUCCAAUUUCGUUGAUUUGCUACCCACUUUUGCGCUGUAGAAGUUGAGAACGAUGAGAAAAUAAAAGGAUGAAAAUUUGCCUUUCAAAUCAUAUUUACUUAAUAUUCGCAAAUAUCACUACUAUUCUUAUGUCGUCAGUGUCAUCCAGAGCACCCUAAGAAAGUAAGAUGAACAUGUCAACAGCAUGUGCAACAAAUUCAUAACUCUGUGCACUUCCUAGUUCAAAUAUCACUCAAUUUAUUCAUGUAUAGAAUUAUGUCUUCCUCAAUACAAUGAAUUGAAAUGCCAUACUUCCUUUCCAGCAUGAGAAAAUCACUACAAUUUCCAUCACGUUUUUGUUCAAGAAAACACAAAACACCGUGUAGUAAAGUACAAACAGAACAACAUAAUAAAAACAUACAAAAUAAAGACGUUAACCGCCUUCAGAAAGUGCAAUUAAACCAAACGUCUCGCUCCCUCUUUCUCUCUCUCUUUCUCGCGCACACACACGCCCCCACACACUCGCUGCAAGCACACACGCGCACGCACACGCACACUCUUCAAGUGCGGUCAAGUGAAUCGUGUGACGUCAGGAGCCGCAGUCACACGGAUAGUCUACUCUAGCCUUAGCAACUUCUCCAUCCUUGCAGUUUUCAUUUUGAGUCUGUGUUUUUUACUGAUUGUCACCUUUCAUAAAGUGCGUUAGUGACAUUUUUCACUGCACUCCAGCAGUGGCAUGUAAAAAUUUGAAAUGCAAAGUCAAAUAUUAGUAAUAUUAGUCAUAUUCUUCUGGAUAAAUGGGCUAAAUUUCCCACAAAGAAAGUCUCCAAAAAAGUGGAAGCUGUUCUUUCAUUUUAACUUGGUGAUGGUCAAAUAUUGCUCAAUAUAUAGUUUGCAAUUCUAACUCAACAACAACUGGAACAUCAGAAUAUGUCACAGAAAUAGAAAAUAACUGCCAUGCACUUCCUCAAGUAUUGAUAAAAAGUAUUUGUAAUUCUUUAUGCAAGGUGUCGAACCAAAUAAAUGCAAUAAAAUGAUUGGAAAUUUG